rnacentral:rRNA from 1 species
AGUUGCUAGUAAUCGCGAAUCAGCAUGUCGCGGUGAAUACGUUCCCGGGCCUUGUACACACCGCCCGUCACACCAUGAGAGUUGGCAAUACCCAACGUACGUGAUCUAACCCGCAAGGGAGGAAGCGUCCUAAGGUAGGGUCAGCGAUUGGGGUGAAGUCGUAACAAGGUAUC